UGUAUAGACUGGGCACAAGGCCCGUGCACCCUUCACUAUGGGUGAGCUGCACAUGAAGUGUGAGAGGAAAGGCCAGGCCUCUCACUCUGCUCCCUACCUCUCAGCCCCAGGUCCACCUCUUCUGUGCUUGACUCUGCACUGCAACUCUGCACUCAUGGGGAUCACCAGGGUGAGCUUCUCUGGAACAGCUGUCCUGGGCUUCUCUGGAAUGAGUUGGAGCUUCCUGCGGCCACCAAGCCUGAGUCCAAAGGGGCAGUCUCAGCCCAUGCAAAAGAUGAACCUUCAGAGCUCAUGCCAGCUCCACAUGCAGCUCCGUCACCUGCUCUGACCCCACAGCAAGAGGAGGCACCAGGAUUCCCUUGUCCACCAGCUGCAGAGCAGGAUCUCCUGGUGGCUUCCCAGCAGGAGUCAUCUCUUCAGCUCUACCUGCAGGCAGCUCUUGACCCACACCUGCCAUUCCCCUCUCUUCCAGAUUUACCUAUUGUUGUGUUCACUGCUACCCUUAUUUUCCAGAGAUAUGAUACAACCAAUAUAAAUAAAGUUUGAGAUUUCAGUGUUAUUUAAAAUAA